rnacentral:rRNA from 1 species
AGCCCCCAAAUAGCCCAAUUAUUAUCACAAAAACAAAUUAACUACAAACAAACCAUUUGCCAAGAGUAGUAUAGGCGAUAGAACCCCUAAUUAUUUGGAGCUAUAGCUACUAGUACCGCAAGGGAAACAUGAAAUACCAAUGAAACAAACAAGCACAAAAAAGCAGAGACUAACACUCGUACCUCUUGCAUUACAGUCCAACAAGAACAAAACAGACAAGAAGCUCCAUAAGUCUGCCAUCCCGAAUUCAAGUGAGCUACCCUAAGACAACCACAGAGUGAACCCGUCUCUGUAGCAAAAGAGUGGGAUGAUCUAAGGGUAGAGGUGAAAAGCCUACCGAACUUGUUGAUAGCUGGUUGCCUGAUAAAAGAAUUUCAGUUCAACUUUAGACUCAAAACUCAACUCCUAGUGAAAACUUAGUCUAAAAGAUAUUCAAUGAGGGUACAGCUUCAUUGAACCAGGAUACAACCCGAAAUAGUGAGAAAAAAUAACCACUUAACCUGUAGGCCCUAAAGCAGCCAACAAAAAACAGAGCGUCACAGCCAAACAAACCAAAAAUACCAUAAUACAAAAACACCUCCUAAUUCACACCAGGCCAUCCUAUACCCCUAUAGGAGAACUAAUGCUGAAACUAGUAACAAGAGACAACUCUCUAAAGCACAACCGUAACUCAGGUUGGAAAACCCACUGAAAAUUAACAACCAAAAUACAAUACCCCUACACUAAGUAUUUUAACAACUGUUAACCCGACACAGGAGUGCUAAAAAGAAAGAUUAAAAGCCAAAGAAGGAACUCAGCAAAAACAGUCCCAACUGUUUACCAAAAACAUAGCCUUUAGCAUUACAAGUAUUAAAGGUAACGCCUGCCCAGUGAACAUUUUAACGGCCGCGGUAUCCUAACCGUGCAAAGGUAGCGUAAUCACUUGUCUCCUAAAUAGAGACUAGUAUGAACGGCUAAAUGAGGACUAACCUGUCUCCUUUGACCAAUCAGUGAAACUGAUCUUUCGGUACAAAAGCCGAAAUAAAUACAUAAGACGAGAAGACCCUGUGGAGCUUUAAAUUAUAACCAAAAUCAUGCUAACACAGCAUACUGAACUAUGGCUAAAAAUUUUAAGUUGGGGCGACUUCGGAAUUAAACAAAACUUCCGAGAAUAAAGAGCAUUCCUCUUACCAAGACCAACAAGUCAAAGCAAAUAUUGACCCAGUACCACUGACCAACGAACCAAGUUACCCCAGGGAUAACAGCGCCAUCUUCUUCAAGAGUCCAUAUCGACAAGAAGGUUUACGACCUCGAUGUUGGAUCAGGACACCCAAAUGGUGUAGCAGCUAUUAAAGGUUCGUUUGUUCAACGAUUAACAGUCCUACGUGAUCUGAGUUCAGACCGGAGCAAUCCAGGUCGGUUUCUAUCUAUGACUGAAGCUUUCCUCAGUACGAAAGGACCAAGAAAGCAGGACCAAUACCAACCGCAUGUCCUCACAACAAAGUUGAAACCAACUAAAACUACUAUUCCAAAGUACAACCGAAAACAACGGUUUA